GACGAACGCUGGCGGCGCGCCUAAUACAUGCAAGUUGAGCGCUGACGGUUGGUACUUGUACCAACUGGAUGAGCAGCGAACGGGUGAGUAACGCGUGGGUAAUCUGCCUUUGAGCGGGGGACAACAUUUGGAAACGAAUGCUAAUACCGCAUAAAAACUUUAAACACAAGUUUUAAGUUUGAAAGAUGCAAUUGCAUCACUCAAAGAUGAUCCCGCGUUGUAUUAGCUAGUUGGUGAGGUAAAGGCUCACCAAGGCGAUGAUACAUAGCCGACCUGAGAGGGUGAUCGGCCACAUUGGGACUGAGACACGGCCCAAACGCCUACGGGAGGCAGCGGUAGGGAAUCUUCGGCAAUGGACGAAAGUCUGACCGAGCAACGCCGCGUGAGUGAAGAAGGUUUUCGGAUCGUAAAACUCGGUUGGUAGAGAAGAACGUUGGUGAGAGUGGAAAGCUCAUCAAGUGACGGUAACUACCCAGAAAGGGACGGCUAACUACGUG
rnacentral:rRNA from 1 species